rnacentral:rRNA from 1 species
CCUACGGGGGGCUGCAGUGAGGAAUAUUGGUCAAUGGGCGAGAGCCUGAACCAGCCAAGCCGCGUGAAGGAUGACGGCCCUACGGGUUGUAACUUCUUUUUGUCAGGGAGCAAUUGGGUCCACGCGUGGGCUAAGCGCGAGUACCUGCAGAAAUAGCAUCGGCUAACUCCGUGCCAGCAGCCGCGGUAAUACGGGGGAUGCGAGCGUUAUCCGGAUUUAUUGGGUUAAAAGGGUGCGUAGGCGGAAUAUCAAGUCAGCGGGAAAAAUUCGGGGCUCAACCCCGUCGUGCCGUUGAAACUGAUGUUCUUGAGUGGGCGAGAAGUAUGCGGAAUGCGUGGUGUAGCGGUGAAAUGCAUAGAUAUCACGCAGAACUCCGAUUGCGAAGGCAGCAUACCGGCGCCCAACUGACGCUGAAGCACGAAAGCGUGGGUAUCGAACAGGAUUAGAUACCCGAGUAGUC